rnacentral:rRNA from 1 species
AAAUUGAAGAGUUUGAUCAUGGCUCAGAUUGAACGCUGGCGGCAGGCCUAACACAUGCAAGUCGAGCGGUAGCACAGAGAGCUUGCUCUCGGGUGACGAGCGGCGGACGGGUGAGUAAUGUCUGGGAAACUGCCUGAUGGAGGGGGAUAACUACUGGAAACGGUAGCUAAUACCGCAUAACGUCGCAAGACCAAAGUGGGGGACCUUCGGGCCUCAUGCCAUCAGAUGUGCCCAGAUGGGAUUAGCUAGUAGGUGGGGUAACGGCUCACCUAGGCGACGAUCCCUAGCUGGUCUGAGAGGAUGACCAGCCACACUGGAACUGAGACACGGUCCAGACUCCUACGGGAGGCAGCAGUGGGGAAUAUUGCACAAUGGGCGCAAGCCUGAUGCAGCCAUGCCGCGUGUGUGAAGAAGGCCUUCGGGUUGUAAAGCACUUUCAGCGGGGAGGAAGGCGUUAAGGUUAAUAACCUUGGCGAUUGACGUUACCCGCAGAAGAAGCACCGGCUAACUCCGUGCCAGCAGCCGCGGUAAUACGGAGGGUGCAAGCGUUAAUCGGAAUUACUGGGCGUAAAGCGCACGCAGGCGGUCUGUCAAGUCGGAUGUGAAAUCCCCGGGCUCAACCUGGGAACUGCAUUCGAAACUGGCAGGCUAGAGUCUUGUAGAGGGGG